rnacentral:rRNA from 1 species
UCGUGAAGAGGGAAACAACCCUAACCUCCAGCUAAGGCCCCUAAUUCAUGGCUAAGUGGGAAAGCAGGUGAGACGACCAAAACAACCAGGAGGUUGGCUUAGAAGCAGCCAUCCUUUAAAGAUAGCGUAACAGCUCACUGGUCUAAAUAAGUUGUCUUGCGGCGAAGAUGUAACGGGGCUCAAGCCAUGAGCCGAAGCUGAGGAUGCAUUUAUUGCAUGGUAGCAGAGCGUAGUGUGACAUAGUUCCAUGUGUCCUUAUCGUCCUUCGGGACGUAUUGGACACAAGGAGCUUUCUGUGAAGCUGGCGCGUGAGCGAUCCGGUGGAGAGAUCACUAGUGAGAAUGAUGACAUGAGUAGCGACAAAGAGUGUGAGAGACACUCUCGCCGAAAGUCCAAGGGUUCCUGCUUAAAGCUAAUCUGAGCAGGGUAAGCCGACCCCUAAGGCGAGGCCGAAAGGCGUAGUCGAUGGGAACCAGGUUAAUAUUCCUGGGCCAGAUGGAAGUGACGGAUCUCGAGGGUAGUUCAUCCUUAUCGGAUUGAAUGGGCUGCUUAGAGGUCCCUGGAAAUAGCUCCAUCGCUAGAUCGUACCCUAAACCGACACAGGUGGACAGGUAGAGAAUACCAAGGCGCUUGAGAGAACUAUGUUGAAGGAACUCGGCAAAAUACCUCCGUAAGUUCGCGAGAAGGAGGCCCGGUUUCUAGGCAACUAGGGGCUGGGGGCACAAACCAGGGGGUGGCGACUGUUUAUUAAAAACACAGGGCUCUGCGAAGUCGCAAGACGACGUAUAGGGUCUGACGCCUGCCCGGUGCCUGAAGGUUAAAAGGAGGGGUGAGAGCUCUGAAUUGAAGCCCAGGUAAACGGCGGCCGUAACUAUAACGGUCCUAAGGUAGCGAAAUUCCUUGUCGGGUAAGUUCC